rnacentral:rRNA from 1 species
UACGUAGGGUGCGAGCGUUAAUCGGAAUUACUGGGCGUAAAGCGUGCGCAGGCGGUUCGUUAAGUUCGUUGUGAAAGCCCCGGGCUCAACCUGGGAACUGCAAUGGAAACUGGCGGGCUUGAGUGUGGCAGAGGGGGGUGGAAUUCCGCGUGUAGCAGUGAAAUGCGUAGAUAUCGGAAGGAACAUCAGUGGCGAAGGCGACUUCCUGGACCAAUACUGACGCUCAGGUGCGAAAGCGUGGGGAGCAAACAGG